rnacentral:rRNA from 1 species
AACGAACGCUGGCGGCAGGCCUAACACAUGCAAGUCGAACGCUCCGCAAGGGGAGUGGCGCACGGGUGAGUAACACGUGGGAACCUACCUUCUGGUACGGAACAACCAAGGGAAACUUUGGCUAAGACCGUAUACGACCUCCGGGUGAAAGAUUGAUCGCCGGAAGAGGGGCCCGCGUCCGAUUAGCUAGUUGGUAGGGUAAUGGCCUACCAAGGCGACGAUCGGUAGCUGGUCUGAGAGGACGACCAGCCACACUGGGACUGAGACACGGCCCAGACUCCUACGGGAGGCAGCAGUGGGGAAUAUCGGACAAUGGGCGCAAGCCUGAUUCAGCGAUGCCGCGUGUGUGAAGAAGGCCUGCGGGUUGUAAAGCACUUUCAGUAGGGAAGAAACCCGAGUGCUAAUAUCACUCGGUCUUGACGUUACUUACAGAAGAAGCACCGGCUAACUCCGUGCCAGCCGCCG